rnacentral:rRNA from 1 species
AUGGGCUGCUCCUCGUCGAAGAAGCUCGACGAGGAGGAGGCCGUGAAGACGUGCCACGACCGCCGGAGCUUCGUCAAGAAGGCAAUCGCGCAGCGGGACCUCCUGGCCUCCUCCCACGUCGCCUACCUCCAGUCGCUCCGCCGGGUCUCGCUCGCGCUCUUCUACUGCCUCGCCGAGGACGAGCACCUCUACUUCCUGCAGGACACGGCCGCGCAGUGCACCCACCGCCCGUGCUCGCCGGAGAAGAGGGCCGUCCUCCUCGUCGUCAACCGCCUGAGGCAAGGAGGGGCGCCCGUGCACCCGCUGGUGGGGCGGUGGGACGGCGAGGCUGGAGCUCCAGAGGCCGCCGUGGUUGAUGGGUUCUUCGGCGUGGAUCCUCGGCUCUUCCGUCCCCCGGCGAACGACGUUCCGGUUUCCUCGCCGUCGCACCUGCCGUCGGCGUGGGACGUGUUCUGGGUCGACCCCUUCUCUUCGCUGCCGACCGAUCGCGUGGGCUAUGUGAAUCACAAUCACGGCGUCGAAGAGGUGAGGAAUGCUGAUCAAGAAGAUGGUGAGAUGCUGGAGCUGGAAGAAAUAAGCGAGGAUGGCAGCAAUGGUGAAGACGAAUCAGAGAAGGAGGAGGCGCAUGGUCAUGAGCAGGCAGAGAGAGCGCAGGUAGUAGUGGCGCCAAGGGAGGAAGAAGAGAAGAGGGUGGUGGGUGUGAGCAAGAAGCUGAGGGUGCGGGCGAGCGCCGAGGUCGAGCAGCAGAGCACCCCCGGCCGAUUCACCGUGUUCGUCGACAGGCCGCCGGCGAGCGUGGCGGAGGCCAUGAGGGACAUCAAGGGCCAUUUCUCGAAGAUCGCCGAAACCGCCGCCGAGGUCUCGGUGCUGCUGGAGGUCGUCCCCUACCAGAAGAAAGUUCGACCACCUGCUCAGAGAGGGGACGUCGAGGGGGGCGACGGCGACGAGCAAGUCGGCACCCGUGAAGCCUCGCCGGAGCCAUUCCAGCUCUUCCAGAGCCACAAGGAGAGCCUCGACAGGCUCUACGCGUGGGAGAAGAAGCUCUACGAGGAAGUCAGGGCAGGGGAGCGCGUCCGGCUGUCGUACGAGAAGAAGGUGGCGCAGCUGAGGAGCCAGGACGCCAACGGCGCGGAGCCGUUCGCCAUCGAGAGGACCAGGGCCGCCAUCAGGGACCUCCGGACCAAGCUCAACAUCUCCCUCGCCUCGGUCGACGCCGUGUCCCGGAGGAUCGUCGCCGUCCGCGACGACGAGCUGCUGCCGCAGCUCGCGGAGCUCAUCCGAGGGCUGGCAAGGAUGUGGCGGGUGAUCGGCGACGCGCACCGGGUGAUGAAGCGCACCGCGGACGAGGCGAGCGCGCUCCUCUCAUCCUCGGCUGCCGGGGCGGAGGGAGGCAUCAGGGGCCCGCCGCCGCCGCCGGGGCCGACGCGCGCGGCCACCGCGGCGGGCGCGCUGGCAACGGAGCUCCGCGGCUGGCGCGCGGCACUGGAGGCCUGGGCGGAGUCGCAGCGCGGGUACGCGGCGGCGCUCUGGGGCUGGGCGCGGAGCUGCGUCAAGGACGGCGAGGACAUGCCGCGGCUGAUCGUGGCCUGGGCCCGCGCGGUCGAGGCCGUGGACGUGGACGCGGCGACCCGGGCCGUGGAGGGCGUCGCCGCGGAGGCGGCGGCCAUCGCGGCGGCCGCGAGGCGCCGCAGCAGCAGCGCCGAGGAGGAGCCGCCGAACGAGGAGGAAGGGAAGCGGAGGGUCUGCGUCGGGCUGGCGGCGGCGCUGGGCGCCAUCGCCGAGGCCGGCGGCCUGGCCUCCGCAGCGUACCGCGAGCUGGUGGCCGAGAUGAAUGACAGGGAGCGCGAGGCAGAAAUGGCGGGAAGGGACGACGAGCCGUCCAUCCAAAACAAUCCACCGUAG